rnacentral:rRNA from 1 species
UACGUAGGGGGCAAGCGUUGUCCGGAUUCAUUGGGCGUAAAGAGCGUGUAGGCGGCCAGGUAGGUCGGUUGUGAAAACUGGAGGCUCAACCUUCAGAGGUCGACCGAAACCAUCUGGCUAGAGUCCGGGAGAGGAGAGUGGAAUUCCUGGUGUAGCGGUGAAAUGCGCAGAUAUCUGGAGGAACACCGGUGGCGAAGGCGGCAUCCUGGACCGGUAUUGACGCUGAGGCGCGAAAGCCAGGGGAGCAAACGGG